UUAAUAAAAUUUAAUUUCUUUCCACGGUCUUUAAUCUCACAUAUUCUUACAAUAUAUGGUGUUAGAAUAUUUGUUACUGUAACUGCUACUGCUGUGAUAGCUAAACAUAGAAUAAGGUUUAAGACAAUAAGUUAACCUUCAUAAUCAAAAUCUGCAUUCUUCAUUUUGCCGGCUUAAUUAUAAUCGUACUGCUGUUAAAAAAAACCUAACCCAGACCUAAGCAAUCACGAUUGAUCAGAACAGAAAGAAACACCAAACAACUUGAGAUUUGUUGAGCUUAACCAGACAUUUUGUAACGAUUUAAGUGUGCACUUAUAUAAUUUACAGUGUUUAUUACUACCAUU